rnacentral:rRNA from 1 species
UUAAGUCCGCUAACGAGCGCAACCCUCGCUGUGUGUUAUAUGUGUCACACGGGACCUGCCGGGUCUUAAGCCGGAGGAAGGUGGGGAUGAUGUCAAGUCAGCAUGGCCUUUAUAUCCUGGGCUACACACACGCUACAAUGGCCAACACAAUAGGUUGCUAAGCCGCGAGGUGGCGCCAAUCCAUAAAGUUGGUCUCAGUUCAGAUUGUAGGCUGCAACCCGCCUGCAUGAAGAUGGAGUUGCUAGUAACCGCAGGUCAGCUAUACUGCGGUGAAUACGUUCCCGGGGCUU